rnacentral:rRNA from 1 species
UACGGAGGAUCCAAGCGUUAUCCGGAAUCAUUGGGUUUAAAGGGUCCGUAGGCGGUUUGGUAAGUCAGUGGUGAAAGCCCAUCGCUCAACGGUGGAACGGCCAUUGAUACUGCUAGACUUGAAUUAUUAGGAAGUAACUAGAAUAUGUAGUGUAGCGGUGAAAUGCUUAGAUAUUACAUGGAAUACCAAUUGCGAAGGCAGGUUACUACUAAUGGAUUGACGCUGAUGGACGAAAGCGUGGGGAGCGAACAGG